UUUAGUUUUGAAAGGCAGCACUUUCACUGUCAUUUAUUCUUUUUCGUUUUUUUCAACACCAUUGAUGGUAUAAGGAAUUGUGUGUUUAAAAAUGUACAUUGUAAAAGGGAGGUGGGGGUGCCGUUGAAUUGUUGGUGGAAGGUCUGAGAAAUACAGGAAGUAGUAUGUGUGUUUUAUUUGAAGCCACACUUAUUGUGUGGCGGGACGGAAUACUUCCUCUUGUUUGUGAGAGUCCUGAGUUCAAGGUCAGGUUGCAGGGAGCAGUAGCUCCAGCAUGGAUGCUCAAACUUCUCUUUCCCCAGCCACUUCAUCCAGUUCUUCCGGGAGUUCCCAGGCCAGCCGAGAUAUGUAGUCUCUCCAGCGUCUCCUGGAUAAUCCUUGGGGUCUCGUUCCGGUGAGACAUGGCCUCACCAAGGAGGCAUCCGGGAGGCAUCGAAAUCAUAUGCUCUAGCCACCUCAUCGGGCUCCUUCAAAUACAGAGGAGCAGUGGCUCGACACUGAGCCCCUUCCAGAUAACAGAACUUUUUAUCCCAUCUCUAAACAUGAAUUAAUCUGGUUAGUUCCAACACUCUUUUCUAAAAUAAUGCUUUAGUCCAAACAAAUAUAUGCUACCAUAAAUACAAUUGAAUUGACCUAGAGUUACAUAGAGAUGUUUUCAUAAUUUUGAUUAUUUUGUGACAUGAAAGAUGCAAUUUAUGUAUUAAAUACAGCUCUUAGUACAACAUACUGCAGGUCAACAACCAGGUUAACAACAAUGCAUGACUACAGAAUCUUAAAUAGAACAAUACAAUCACAUUUGAUUUUUAAUUUUGUUCUUGAAUUGGAUGUGCAGGUCAAGUCCAAUUAAUGUUGUAGUUGGUAAGCAUAAAACACACGCACAUAGCAAUAAAUGUACACUCAAAGAUAGCCGGUUAAGUUAUUUAAUUCCUGUUUUUUCCAGCAAUAUGUAUAUAAAGUGUGCUUUGCAAACUCUGCCGUUGGUCAAUCUUCAAUAAAACAGCGCAACGCCAAGCAGAAACAUUCAGUUCAAUCUUCACAAUGAAGUCUAAUAUUCAACAGGUCACAGUGUUCAAACAACCCAUUGUCACACAUGCAAGAUAUGAAGAAAGAUUAUUAAAUACUCCAUUAAAAGUCUGGAAGACUGAGAUUCAAGCACCAGGACUAAAAUGUGCUUAUAGUCUUUAGUAAAUUGUAUACAUCAAUUUUCUGAAUUGGGGAAGGAUGCUGGGUACAUCUUGAACUGGUCACCACUCAAUCCAGGGCACAUAUAGACAACCAUUCACACUCACAAUUUAAAGUCUCCAAUUAACCUACCAUGUUUUUGGAAUGUCAGAGGAAACAGAGUACCCAGAGAAAUCAUACACAUGCCAAGGCAGGAUUUGAACCCAUCUACUGUGCUACAUUGUGUAAGCGUAUACAAUUGUAUAUAUUCUUAUUCCGAGCAACUUGUCCUCAUCAGGGUCACGUGAGCGCUAGAGCCUAUCUCAGCUAUUAACGCGUAGGAGAUGGGAUGCACCCUGAACUGGUUGCCAGUCAAUUGUAGGGCGCACAGAGACAAACAACAGUGUCACUCACAAUCACACCUAAGGGCAAUUUAGAGUCCCCAAUUAAUGCAAGUUUUUGGGUUGUGGGACGAAACCGCAGUGACAUAGACAAGUCCCACAGGGACGUGGAGAGCGUGGAAACUCCAGACAGGCAGGGCCGGGAUUUGAACCCCAGUCCUCAGAACUAUGAGGCCAACGCUCUAACCAGUUGCUCCCCCAUGGCGCCACAAUUUUAUACAUUUAUAAGCAAUUUAUACAUUUUGUUCAUGAAAUAAAAACUGAUUCAGUGUGAUAAACAAUUGGCUAAGUACCCCAUCCACCUCACAGUUCUGAGGGUGAGGGUUUAAAUUCAUUCUCUGGGGGGUUCGCAUGUUCUCGCAACGUUUCUGUAAGUUUUCUGGGGGUAUGCUGGCUUCUGCACAUCUCCCAAAAACAUGUUUCUUAGGUUAACUGAGGACUCUAAAUUGUCCAUAUAUGAGCCUCAAUGGUAGUGUGUCUACAUCUGCCCUGCGACCAUACCCUGUCUCUGCCACAAAGUCUGCUUGGACAGGCUCCAGCUCUCAGGGUGGAGGGUCAGAUGGUUUAAUAUCAACAUGUAUUUUAACUUCAUAACAUCUGUUUUUAAAUAAUUUUGUAUCGAUGUAUAAUUCUGGUAACCAGGAGGACUUACAGCUGUCUUCUAUACACUAUUGCAAUAAUAGGAACAAUUUAAAUAUUUAUACAUGACUGAUUCAUAUUAUGUAAACUAUAUAUAUUGGUAUUACAGAUAUACUUUCACAAGUUUGUCUUGCUGAGCUUCUUGAAAGUGAUGUACCAUAUAUGGAAGGUAAAUGACGCAAUCCAUGUUACAUUCCUCAGUGUUAACUAACCUACAAGCCGCGGGAACUUUACAACAUUGUGGCCCUCAAACAAAACACUGCCUGCAUCAAGAGACGCAAAGGAGAUUCCAAAGCAGGAAGAUUUUUUUUUUUUUUUGAGAAAAGGCAUACA